ensembl:lncRNA novel transcript
CUUGCACUAAGGAGGAGGUCACGUGAGCACACAGUGAGAAGGCGGAGGACCAUCUGCAAGCAGGAAGAGAGCCCUCGCUAGAACCCCCCACGGUGGCAUCUGAUAGUGGACUUCUAGCUUCCAGAACUGAACUCAUAAAUGUCACAUCAGGCUGCCUCUUGGUGAAUUUUUAAUCAACGGGGAGAAUUUCAGCUACAAAUAGACCAAGAAUCAAGAGGCCCACUAUUGAUCGGUCAAAGUGGCACUUAUGAACCUGAGGUUGAAGCAGUUUGGAUAAAAGGAUUCUGGGCUUUCGAUGGCCCCAGAGACAUCUUUUUCCAUCAAGUCCAGUAAGAUCACUCCGGCUAUUACAUGGAGGGUGGACUGAAGGAACAAGGACAGGGAACAGGAAUGGCAGUAAAGAAACCAGGAGACUAUUGAGAUGAUCCUGACAAGAAAUGGCAACUUGGACUACGGCAGUGGCAAUAGAGCUCAUCCCUUUCCCCACAUCUCAGCAUGAUAUAACAAGAGUUGCCUGGGGCCUCAUGGCCCAAUGGGGCCCAGGCCUCAAAUAAAUCUGCAGAGAAGUCUUGCAGCCUGUUGGCACCUGGGCACGGGAGAUUCCAAGAUGAAUUGGGUCCUAUCCUUGAGGAGACCAUACAUGUUAGGGAGGUUGUUGGAUACAUGAGCAGAUACAACACAUGGCAGAACGUGUUGGAUGGAGGCUGAGCACCGGAAAUGCUGUAAUGCUGUUGUGGACUCUUCUUGGAAAGUGGUUAUGGCAUGAAGAAAAGCAAGAGAGCCCAGUAGAAGAAAUAUUUCUCUUUAUGUCUUUGUCCUGUUUCUUCAUUAUCUGCUUGCUGAUCGGUACAGCUGAGAACAUGUUGAAUUUGAUGUGCCUGUGGAUAUUUGAGUCUGGAACAUUGAAGACAAGUUUGGUCUGGAGAUGUAGACUGGGGAUAUCUCAGCACACAGAUGAUAACUGAAAUGAUGGAGCGGAUGAUAUAAACUGGAGAGAGUCUGGUGUGGGAAGAGUCUUCCCUGAGGUGGCCGAAAGAUGUAAUUCUUACUCCAAAGACUGAAAUAGAGACAAGAGAAGCUGAAGUUACAGGGUUUUGUCAUUGGGAAGACAGUAGAGUGUGUCAUAUCCCAAGAGUGAAGCAAGGACAAACCAAAGAACAACUGGGAAGAUCUGGGAGAAAAAGGAGACAGGGUCUUACUUUGUUGCCAAGGCUGGCUUCAAACUCCUGACUUCAAGAGAUCCUCCCACCCCACCCACCCAAAGUGCUGGGAUUACAGGUGUGCGCCACUGUGCCUAGCGGGUCAUCAGUCUUUGAGAUGCUGUUGACAAAGCCAUUUGAUGAUAUCAAAGAAGGAAUGAAGCAUAAGGUUUUUUGGCCCCUCUGCUUGGGAUGCCACUUGCAGGCAGAACUCUCCACAGUUUUACCAUCCAGUGAAGAAUCACCUGUUUAUAGCCUGUGUAAAAUCAAUGAUGCUUCUUGGAAACAAGUCUAUUCUCAU